UGCAUGAUGUCCAAGUAGAAAGGCAUUGGUUGUGUAAACCAAAGUACAUGGGUUCAAGUCCCAACCAUGCCU